rnacentral:lncRNA from 1 species
GCUGCAAGUGUGUGCUGUCCUGACACCAGGUGGUAUCCUGAACUACCCCUGAACUGGGGUGGCCCAAGGUUCAGCAUCAGGUUCCGACUCAUCAAGGUAACCUUGCAGGAAUGGCAGAAACCUGGAAACCAAGACCCGUGUCCUCAGGGUCAAGGCAAUGUACUUCCCUCUCUGAAUGAACCAUGGACGUAAUACAUGCCCUGGCAGUGGCCAGUGCUCUGAGGGAGUCUCACUCACUCAGCACUUCACCCUUUGUGGUCUGGCUCUGACGCUAGUGAUCAGCUACUUUCUUGUGUAUCUGCACUUCUGACGAUUUUGCUAAUGCCAGUGACCUCAUUUCAUGGCAUGGGGUUGCCAGGGAUAGAGUCCUGCUCACUGACCAAUCGUUCCCCAUGCCCUUGAACCUGCAAUCAUCUUGCCUCAGCCUAAUGGGCACUAGGAUUGAGGUGUGUGCUGUCAUGCUCAGUUAACAUACAUAGUUUUGGAAAUACCCUGCCAAUCUUUUUUUUUUUUUUUAUUAAUACGCUGAGUCUUUUCAUUUAAUGUAAUUAUUGAGAUGUU